rnacentral:rRNA from 1 species
GACGAACGCUGGCGGCGUGCUUAACACAUGCAAGUCGAACGGAAAGGCCCUGCUUUUGUGGGGUGCUCGAGUGGCGAACGGGUGAGUAACACGUGAGUAACCUGCCCUUGACUUUGGGAUAACUUCAGGAAACUGGGGCUAAUACCGGAUAGGAGCUCCUGCUGCAUGGUGGGGGUUGGAAAGUUUCGGCGGUUGGGGAUGGACUCGCGGCUUAUCAGCUUGUUGGUGGGGUAGUGGCUUACCAAGGCUUUGACGGGUAGCCGGCCUGAGAGGGUGACCGGCCACAUUGGGACUGAGAUACGGCCCAGACUCCUGCGGGAGGCAGCAGUGGGGAAUAUUGCACAAUGGGCGGAAGCCCGAUGCAGCAACGCCGCGUGCGGGAUGACGGCCUUCGGGUUGUAAACCGCUUUCGCCUGUGACGAAGCGUGAGUGACGGUAAUGGGUAAAGAAGCACCGGCUAACUACGUG